UUUUUUUAACAGGGUUGAAGCAAAGGCAUUUAUUUCAUCUUGUUAGGUGAAAGAUGGUUGUUUAUUUUGUUCAACUGGUGUUCAUGCAAUGAAAACUGCCUAUAAUCAUUUUCCAAUCGAUGAUUCCUGCAACAAGCUCAGACUUAAAAGAGUUAAAGUAACUGGAGGUAAAGAAGUAUGUGAAGGAUUUAAUUUCCCAACUACAGAGUACUCCAAAGAAUUAAAGUUUUGGUGGAUAAGGAUCGAGGAAUAAUAUGGUUUUAACUGGUUUCGAUCUUAUGAACAAAAUUCUGUAUCUCAAUAAUAUCCUGACCUAUCAAAUUGAU